AUUGAACGCUGGCGGAAUGCUUUACACAUGCAAGUCGAGCGGCAGCGCGGGGCAACCUGGCGGCGAGCGGCGAACGGAUGAGUAAUGCAUCGGAACAUGUCCAUGUCGUGGGGGAUAGCCCGGCGAAAGCCGGAUUAAUACCGCAUACGCCCGAGAGGGGAAAGUGGGGGACCGCAAGGCCUCACGCGAUUGGGUUGGCCGAUGUCCGAUUAGCUUGUUGGUGAGGUAAAGGCUUACCAAGGCGAUGAUCGGUAGCUGGUCUGAGAGGAUGAUCAGCCACACUGGGACUGAGACACGGCCCAGACUCCUACGGGAGGCAGCAGUGGGGAAUUUUGGACAAUGGGGGCAACCCUGAUCCAGCCAUUCCGCGUGAGUGAAGAAGGCCUUCGGGUUGUAAAGCUCUUUUGUCCGGAACGAAACGGUGCGGGUGAAUAACCCGCGCUACUGACGGUACCGGAAGAAUAAGCACCGGCUAACUACGUGCCAGCAGCCGCCGCCGUAA
rnacentral:rRNA from 1 species